GACGAACGCUGGCGGCGCGCCUAACACAUGCGAGUCGAACGAGCGAGAGAGAGCUUGCUUUCUCAAGCGAGUGGCGAACGGGUGAGUAACGCGUGAGGAACCUGCCUCAAAGAGGGGGACAACAGUUGGAAACGACUGCUAAUACCGCAUAAGCCCACAGGUCGGCAUCGACCAGAGGGAAAAGGAGCAAUCCGCUUUGAGAUGGCCUCGCGUCCGAUUAGCUAGUUGGUGAGGUAACGGCCCACCAAGGCAACGAUCGGUAGCCGGACUGAGAGGUUGAACGGCCACAUUGGGACUGAGACACGGCCCAGACUCCUACGGGAGGCAGCAGUGGGGAAUAUUGCACAAUGGGGGAAACCCUGAUGCAGCGACGCCGCGUGGAGGAAGAAGGUCUUCGGAUUGUAAACUCCUGUUGUUGAGGAAGAUAAUGACGGUACUCAACAAGGAAGUGACGGCUAACUACGUG
rnacentral:rRNA from 1 species